rnacentral:lncRNA from 1 species
GUCCGGCUUAGGUUGUUAGUAAAAGUGUCACUAACAAUAUACAUACAAAUAAAUACAUUGACUAUCUAUUUUGAGUGGAUAUUUUAAUACACAAAAUGAAAAGUUAAUAAGAAUAAUGAAAGAGAUUUAUAGUUACGAAAAUUCUGCAUCAUUAAUUAUUCAACAAUAGUUGUUAGGCAACAUGAAUAGGUCCAAAAAUAGUUUUCAAAAACGUUUAAUAUG